rnacentral:rRNA from 1 species
GGGGAAUAUUGCACAAUGGGGGAAACCCUGAUGCAGCAACGCCGCGUGAGUGAUGAAGGUCUUCGGAUUGUAAAGCUCUGUCUUUUGGGACGAUAAUGACGGUACCAAAGGAGGAAGCCACGGCUAACUACGUGCCAGCAGCCGCGGUAAUACGUAGGUGGCAAGCGUUGUCCGGAUUUACUGGGCGUAAAGGAUGCGUAGGCGGAUAUUUAAGUGAGAUGUGAAAUUCCCGGGCUUAACUUGGGCACUGCAUUUCAAACUGGGUAUCUAGAGUGCGGGAGAGGAAAGUGGAAUUCCUAGUGUAGCGGUGAAAUGCGUAGAGAUUAGGAAGAACACCAGUGGCGAAGGCGACUUUCUGGACCGUAACUGACGCUGAGGCAUGAAAGCGUGGGGAGCAAAC